UUUCAUCCACUAUGCUCGUGUACUGACUGAUGCCGCUGGUCCAAACAACGUUAUGCCGCGCACCGUUGACCAGACAAAGCUUUUUAGAAAGUUCUUCAACGCGAUUCAAGGGUUGGAAAAGUGUUGAUUUAAUAUCUCGAUAUGCUGACACCGUUCCGACCUGUCACCAAGGAGAGAUGCUACAAAAACAGGACCGUAUUCACUGUUGCUGCCACAGGAGCGGAAACAGUGCAGCGGAUAUGGGGGCUUCUAAAUAAUUAAGAGAAGAGGAGCGCUUUCUUUACUGCAGACUGACACGUCAAGUAACGGUUCGGUAGAACCGAACGGAGUUUAUCCACCAAUGCUAUGAAAUCUAACAGAUGACAUAUCGCAACCUCGGAUCGAGAACCAGAUUUUUACGGCUGACAUUUGACAGACGGGAGACUGGAAGGGGAGCGGAAGGGAGCGACACUGCCGCCGCGAAAGAGCGCUGGAUCACGGCUGGGAGUCCACAGACCGUCGGUGCGGCCCGUGUCGAUCUGUCGUCCAUGAUCAGACGUCGGGAAAUAAACAUGUAGCUAGCUACUGCUACUUGGUUAUAGUACAUAUAAUUCACCCUAAAUAAGAACACGGGAAAGCGGGCUUACCGUGUCGAUUACGGUACGGUGUUCCACGUUAUUUUUGACGCAGAUACAAACCCACAGUACCAGUGGAACUACAACAUCCCGGACAGGAAUAGAUGAACUCAGGUGUCCAGCCUCCCUUCAUCACCUCCGCCACCACCUCAGUCUGCAGUCUCCCUCUCUCCCUCCUCUCACCCCAUUCUGUCCCCCCUGGAAGAGGACAACAUCCUACCCCAGACCACCCUAGUUCCAACUAGACUACAAUCCAACAUCCUACCCCAGACCACCCUAGUUCCAACAAGACUACAAUCCAACAUCCUUCCACUCCACCUCUUCCCAAACAGACGAGGGGGAGAGAGGAGCUUCGCCCCCCCUCAUCCC